rnacentral:pre_miRNA from 1 species
AGAGUUAACUCAAAAUGGACUAAUUUUUCCACUAGUUAGUCCAUUUCAAGUUAACUCUGU